rnacentral:rRNA from 1 species
GUGUGUGAAGAAGGCCUUCGGGUUGUAAAGCACUUUUGUCCGGAAAGAAAUCCUUUGGGUUAAUACCUCGGGGGGAUGACGGUACCGGAAGAAUAAGCACCGGCUAACUACGUGCCAGCAGCCGCGGUAAUACGUAGGGUGCAAGCGUUAAUCGGAAUUACUGGGCGUAAAGCGUGCGCAGGCGGUUUUGUAAGACGGAUGUGAAAUCCCCGGGCUCAACCUGGGAACUGCAUUCGUGACUGCAAGGCUAGAGUAUGGCAGAGGGGGGUAGAAUUCCACGUGUAGCAGUGAAAUGCGUAGAGAUGUGGAGGAAUACCGAUGGCGAAGGCAGCCCCCUGGGCCAAUACUGACGCUCAUGCACGAAAGCGUGGGGAGCAAACAGGAUUAGAUACCCUGGUAGUCCACGCCCUAAACGAUGUCAACUAGUUGUUGGGGAUUCAUUUCCUUAGUAACGUAGCUAACGCGUGAAGUUGACCGCCUGGGGAGUACGGUCGCAAGAUUAAAACUCAAAGGAAUUGACGGGGACCCGCACAAGCGGUGGAUGAUGUGGAUUAAUUCGAUGCAACGCGAAAAACCUUACCUACCCUUGACAUGUACGGAAGUCCGCUGAGAGGUGGAUGUGCUCGAAAGAGAACCGUAACACAGGUGCUGCAUGGCUGUC